GUUAAGAUUAAACUCUGAAAUCACUCAGACAUGGAGAGGCCAAAGUCCCUUUCUGGUGCACCCUGAGAGAGCAGGAUGGUGCUUCUGCUCCCACAGAGGAUUCUUUUUGUCUCCUUACUCUGGAGAAAGCCCACGAGGCUGAAUCUUACACAACACAUUUGACAAAUGAGGCUGUGGUGAGAUUGUGGCUUUAGUGAACAGAUGCGGUGACACAGGGUGGGAAAGUCCCCAGAACUCCCACCAAGAGGAAAAGGGAUGGAAUUUACCAGCGACCAAGCUGAAGGAGGAGGAUGGAACGGUGAGAAAGGAGCUGGUUCCAGGUUCCCUGGGUCAAAGGCAGAAGCAGAGGAAUGCCACUGCAGGGUGUAAAUCAAAAGGAGGAGAAACAAUCAUUUGCUCUCAUCGAAGUGGGAAGUGCAAGAACGUGAAUGCAGGAAGCAAACAAAGUUGGUAACACCUCUUGGCAGUGAGGUGUGCUUGUUCUGAAAACGAACGCUUUCUGAAGGAUGUGGAGCUGCUGUGCAUCUCAUGGCAAGCAAUCCCUGACAAAGCAGAAGUAAGGGGGGGCCGCAGUGGGCCCUUCUCUCUCUUUCACUUUCGCACAAACAUAUGUAGUUCUUUUUCUUGGAAAUGUGGGAAAGGAUUACAAAUACAGAGCCGUUUUAAAUGAAUGAAUUCAUCUAGGGAGUGCUAUGGCUAAUGUUACACAGGAAUUCAGUCUGAACGUGGGAUUAAACUCACCUAAUUUUAAAGCUGUCUAGUAUUUAGGUAUUUUUGAGCUGUAUAGCUAUCUGUUUAGACACUGGAGAAAGAUGUGUAUCUCUGAGGAGUAUUUAUCCUAGCCUGUAUCAGAGGUGGGGGGUAUUCCAGAUUGUCAGUGCCUUCUUUUCUUCCUUAACUGAAGCUGCUUGAUAUAGGAACCUAACUUAUAAUUGGCUGAAACUGUUGAUGAACCUCAUGUAGAUGUGAUGAACCUCAGUGUAGAUAAGAAUGAGUCCUUCCAGCCUUCACCAUCUGAUUUAUUACAUAAACAUUCUCCUGCAUCACAUGUAGGAAGAUAGAAAAGUUGUUUUCCCAGUGCAAGUAACAAUAAGCAGUACUUCACAAGACUGCAGAGGACCCCAAGGCCUUUGUGCUGUAUUGUGAACAAAAGAAUUACCAAUGCAGACCAUUUUCUUCUUCCCUUUUCAACUAACAGAAGAAGAAACAGAUUUCCAGGAAUUAUGCUUUUUUAAGGCACAUUUCAGCAAUAUUUUGGGGAUGAUGCAGCCUUUUAUUAAAAAAACAAAAAAAAACCAAAAAAACAAAAAAAAACAACAAGAUUUUAAAGGCAGCUUGCAUACAUAAAGUUCUAACUGAAACUAACUUUUGUAUCUCUUCUUAUGCAUUAGGCACUUCUGGAUACAUUUCCUCUGUAGAAAUAUUCCUUGUAUUAACAGUGAGGAUCACCACGGAGUCUGAUGCCUAUUAGUUUUUUUAAUGUAGUGUAGCUAGAUAGAAACUUAUUCAUGGGUCUAAAAUGCUGUUCAGGAAAGGGCAGAGACAGGCACCCCCGGGUUGCACAUGCUGGUUCCAAAGUCACAGACAUUCAGGGAAGAAAAGGCUCCGGUAGGAAGACGCUAAGGCUUCAAGAAUGCAGGUGGGAUGAGUCAGUUGCCACUUUGGGGCUGGAAAUCACAACUCCUGCUUUGCUGUCCAUGGAGCACUGCUGCGGUGAGUGGGACAGUUCUGUCCAAUGGCUAUUCUUCAGAUUUGGGUGUUGAAUCAGCAGCAUACUGAUGCAGGUGCCAAGAUUUGAAUCUAAUGAGUAAUCCAAGGAGUUCCCUUGAAGAUAUCACAGGAACAACUCACUUAUUACAAACUGGGCAUGUUCUUCAGAAGGGGUUUGAAAUCCCUCAUUUGAGGAGCAUGAUGAGGUCAUCGGGUACUAGCAUAUUUCAAAUGCAGUUUUAUAUUUGCCUCUUGUAUUUUAGCUGUUUAUGAUCUACAUCAGAGCGCUCCUUUCUACAUCUUUUCUAUGUGGACGCCCUUCCAUGUUUCUUCUCGAGACGUUUUUUGUUUAUAUUAUGUAUUUUUGGAGGGCUGGUGAUUCAAUCUGUUUGAGGUCAGGGAGUGACACUGUGUACACAAUGCAUUUUAGCACUUUCAGUCAUUUUUUUUCUAGCCUUUUCCUAAUAGAGUGAUGUAGUCUCUGUUGGCCACUAAGUCCUUGAGGCUACAAAGUAAUUUGGCACAAGUCUCAGGGAAUAACUCCGAAUUUCCCUUUGGAGGUGUUCUUUUCUCAGCACACUUCAUUUCUGUCUGACUGAGAAGCCAGUUUGUUUUCACUGAGAUCUGCAAAACUUUUUACAGUUUCCUCAGGGAGUUAAAUACAUAAUACACAGAAAAAUAUGAGUAUAGCUGGGACAGAAGGUGGCAUGCAACAACACCAUUCAAAUAUUCCUGGUGUGCAAGGAAUGAUGCUCUGUCAAUCUCAGACCACAAAAGGGGUUCAGAAACAAGAAUGCAGUUUCUCUGCAGUAAUCCAGCCAGAAAACCAAGAGUAAUGGACUUUUCCCUUCCAAAUGCAAGCUGGAAUCCUCCACCAUUGUAGGCUGAUGUGGUCUUUGCUGAAGCCCUUCGUCUUCAGGGUGCCAUCAGACAGUGUAAAGGUGUUUGGUUCCUAGCACUUAAUGAAAAAAUAAAGAUUAAGGGUUAUUUUAUCAUGUUCCCUGCUCCCUAAAGCACCUGUAGUUGUUUGACGGUCUCCAUUUCUGGUUAGCCAAAGGAAUUAAAGAAGAUUGAUUAUUCCAGUGGGAUAUUAGAACACUUUUAGGCCCCACACAUGGAAGAAUUGCCCUGUGAUUUUCUCUUUAUGUAGAGGUAGAUGCCCUAAGCUCACACUUGGAAUCAUACUGGGAAAAGGAGGCUCCUAAUUAUCUCUCACUUGAAGACAGUCAAGCUUCAAAUAAGUCCAUUGCUCUGUGCAGGGCUGAGCAAAACUCUGGAGAAUAGAUGCCCCAGGGGAACAGAAGAUUGAGCAUGCUGCCCUUUGGCCAUUGGCACUAAUUUGCCAAUUCAGUAGAGAUGACAAAAGACGAAGUGGGGAGUCCACGCCCAUCUCAGGUAAAAGAAUUGCCUGUUUCAAGAAAACUGGGAAACACUGAUAGGACAAAAUAAAUGGGAGAAGAACAAGACUCCUAUGUCAUCUUGUGGACUUCAGACACAGCGCCAGAUCAAACGUAGUUAUGCCUGUUAACUCCACGAGAAUAAGACAUAGCUGCAGUAUGGAGCUGAGUCAGUUUGGAUUCAGCAUUUAAAGAAAGAAUGGAAGAGAAGCAACCAGGUGUCAAAAGAUGUCCAAGCAUUAUCUGGCCAGAGUGCAUUGCCAAUCCACCAUGCCAGCCAUCCCACCAGAGGCAUCUUGAUGUCAGCAUUGAUGUGACCCAGAAAUGAGGGGAGAGUGACGGGAAUUCACUGUGCUGGGGAAUUCAGUGCUGCAGAUAGUGAAACACCUUCCAAACCAGAAGAGGUUGCUCUGUGUUCCAAUAUUACUGAUGGAAAUGUUGUGUGAAAUGUUCUGGUCAGCCAAGGAAGUGGACCAUGCAGCAUGGGAUGGCAGCCCCUUCGUGAUCCCUGAGGCUUUGGUGCUGGGAUCAGCACAAGGAAGGACGCCAGAGGAAAAAGUCAGGUUCAGGUUGGAAAUGUAUUGCUCAGAGGAAGCAGAUGGAAGAAGAGGUGUCUCUGAGUUUGAAUCAGCUUCUGUAUGAUCAUGGCUUAAUGAUCAUAAAUCCUCUGGGGCCUGCAACCUAACAAGGGAAUAAAGGAGGAAGCGCCGUCUCUCUCAGAUCAAAGUAAAGAGAAAAGCUGAGAUGUAAAGGAGACGAAAUGAGCUGCAGGGUAAGUUUGGCAACUGACAAAUGGAGGCCAUGGAGUUCUUCACAAAAGAUUAUACUUUCUACAGCCAUUUGCAAUGACACCUGCACUGUGCCAUUUCACUGUCCUUGGGCUUGGCGUAUAUUGCAGUGUAGUCUCCUUCAGCACAGGCUGCGGUGGUGAUUAGCUCGCUGGCUGUUUCUCUUGACUGUUCUGCUUCAAAUAGAAAAGAGAGUUGCAUGAGGAAUCUGAAGACAGACCAAGCCAUGGAAGAUAGAGGUUCCCAAAGGACACGUGAACUGAGACUGCGUUGAUUCAUAAAUCUUCAGGGGAUUUGCCACCCCUGAACUCAAACCUCUACUAUUCUGUUGAUCCAUACUACAGUAUGGAAGUUCAACUGGCUAGUUGUCUUAUGGGUCUUUGUACUUCCAUCUAUUGCUCCCUCACCAUCACCACUGAAACACACUUCACGGCAACUACCAAAUAAAGAUGACAAAUGUUACCACAUGACACCACAUAUUCAAAAAGUUUUUUCCAGCUUGCUUUUGAUAACAAUACAAAGAUGGUUUUGCAGAGCUC
ensembl:lncRNA